CGCGGGAUGGAGCAGUCUGGUAGCUCGUUGGGCUCAUAACCCAAAGGUCGCAGGUUCAAAUCCUGCUCCCGCAA
rnacentral:tRNA from 1 species